rnacentral:rRNA from 1 species
UACGUAGGGUGCGAGCGUUAAUCGGAAUUACUGGGCGUAAAGCGUGCGCAGGCGGUUUUGUAAGACAGAUGUGAAAUCCCCGGGCUUAAACUGGGAAUGGCAUUUGGGACUGCAAGGCUUGAGUUUGGCAGAGGAGACUGGAAUUCCUGGUGUAGCAGUGAAAUGCGUAGAUAUCAGGAGGAAUACCGAUGGCGAAGGCAGGUCUCUGGGCUAGAACUGACGCUCAUGCACGAAAGCGUGGGGAGCAAACAGG